UCUUGUGCCCUGGACAGGAUAUCAUCAUAUACUGUAAGUUCUUUAUGGUGACACUACAGUAUAGAUGAUGUACUAUCCAGGGUCUCAUUC
ensembl:miRNA MIR144 microRNA 144